rnacentral:rRNA from 1 species
AGAUGGGAUUAGCUAGUAGGUGGGGUAACGGCUCACCUAGGCGACGAUCCCUAGCUGGUCUGAGAGGAUGACCAGCCACACUGGAACUGAGACACGGUCCAGACUCCUACGGGAGGCAGCAGUGGGGAAUAUUGCGCAAUGGGCGAAAGCCUGACGCAGCGACGCCGCGUGCGGGAAGAAGGCCUUCGGGUUGUAAACCGCUUUCAGGAGGGACGAAGCCACUCAGGUUAAUAGCCGAGAGGGUGACGGUACCUCCAGAAGAAGCCCCGGCUAACUACGUGCCAGCAGCCGCGGUAAUACGUAGGGGGCUAGCGUUGUCCGGAUUUAUUGGGCGUAAAGAGCGUGUAGGCGGCCAUGUAGGUCCGGUGUGAAAACUCGAGGCUUAACCUCGAGAUGUCAUCGGAAACCAUUUGGCUAGAGUCCGGAAGAGGAGAGUGGAAUUCCUGGUGUAGCGGUGAAAUGCGCAGAUAUCAGGAAGAACACCAAUGGCGAAGGCAGCUCUCUGGGACGGUACUGACGCUGAGACGCGAAAGCGUGGGGAGCAAACAGGAUUAGAUACCCUGGUAGUCCACGCCGUAAAC